rnacentral:tRNA from 1 species
GCCACUGCACAAAUGGUUAAGUGCUUGGCUACUAACUGAAAGGUUGGUGGUUUGAAUCCACCCAGAGGCA